CGAGCAACACUUCCGGCCUCACAUAAUAAAUUAUUUACGAACUUAGGAAAUAUAUAGAACUUAUUAUUCUUAUAAUAUAAUUAGUAAUUUCAUAAUCAAGUAAAUAGUUCAUUCAUAUUUUCUUUAUACUUAUAAUAUUUUAUUGGCGCCUUCCGCUUGACAGCUUCCGGCGCAAUAAGUCUUAAUGUUAUUUGUUACAUAAUUCCAUAUUAUUAAAUAAUAAUUGUACGUAAAUAAUCAGCAGAAUAAUUAAGAUGAUCAAUGUUUAAUAUUACCUACUCAGUUUGUAUUAAAAUAGGUCAAGAUGAUUGUAUAAAUACCGACGGUUAGCAUAUCUCUGUUGCAUUCGUAUUCUACCCACCGUAAUGUGUACUAAAGAGAAUAUAUUAUUUCGUGUGGAUGUAAAUUGUCUCAAUUGUCGCCGCCACCCUGAGGAUCCGUUUAUACUUCAGAAGUGGGAUUAUGCCAGGCCCAUGCAUUGACGGAUUUGAGACCGCUGAGAAACACAGGCGAUACAAAAUGCGACGUGUCACCCAAACCGAUGCGGAGGUUAUUCCAACGUUCCGGCCGGAUGAAAAAUCUAGCAACGUCAAGGGAUGGCUGCACAAGAUCGACCAGUUGGAUCACGUAUAUGGAUGGGACAACAAAGACUGCCAGUUCAUCAUGCAGAUAUGUCUUCGUGGGUCGGCUAGGGAUUGUGCGAUACACCACCGCAACUAUACUACACAUCCGCGAAUGGCUACCACAUGGAGAAGGUGCUGUUGCUCCAGUUGCAAGAGGGACCGACUUUCAACCAAAGAAAUGUUACGCCUGCCGAAGAGAAGGUCAUGAAACACAGAACUGCAAAGAGCCGCGCUGCGAGGUGUGCCAUACACCAGCGACAAACCAGGCGCCAAUAGCAGCGCUGAUCGCCGUGGGACACGGCAUACACAGGAUGGCCGAAUGUUAUCGAGCAACACUUCCGGCCUCACAUAAUAAAUUAUUUACGAACUUAGGAAAUAUAUAGAACUUAUUAUUCUUAUAAUAUAAUUAGUAAUUUCAUAAUCAAGUAAAUAGUUCAUUCAUAUUUUCUUUAUACUUAUAAUAUUUUAUUGGCGCCUUCCGCUUGACAGCUUCCGGCGCAAUAAGUCUUAAUGUUAUUUGUUACAUAAUUCCAUAUUAUUAAAUAAUAAUUGUACGUAAAUAAUCAGCAGAAUAAUUAAGAUGAUCAAUGUUUAAUAUUACCUACUCAGUUUGUAUUAAAAUAGGUCAAGAUGAUUGUAUAAAUACCGACGGUUAGCAUAUCUCUGUUGCAUUCGUAUUCUACCCACCGUAAUGUGUACUAAAGAGAAUAUAUUAUUUCGUGUG